GACGAACGCUGGCGGCGUGCUUAACACAUGCAAGUCGAACGGAAAGGCCCUGCUUGUUUCUCGUGUUGGGGUGGCGAACGGGAGAGUAACAUGUGCUUACCCUGACUUUGACUUUAGUCUGACUUACUGGAACUAGGACUAAUAACGGCUAGGAGCUCCUUGUUGUUGGUGGGGGUUCGAUAGUUUGGUCGGUUGGGGAUGGACUCGCGGCUUAUCAGCUUGUUGGUGGGGUAGUGGCUUACCAAGGCUUGGACGGGUAGCCGGCCUGAGAGGGUGACCGGCCACAGUGGGACUGAGAUACGGCCCAGACUCCUACGGGAGGCAGCAGUGGGGAAUAUUGCACAAUGGGCGGAAGCCUGAUGCAGCAACGCCGCGUGCGGGAUGACGGCCCUCGGGUUGUAAACCGCUUUCGCCUGGGACGAAGCGUGAGUGACGGUAAUGGGAAAAGAAGCACCGGCUAACUACGUG
rnacentral:rRNA from 1 species